UUGAAAUAUAUAUAAUUUACUAGAAAAAUUCAUUUUUAAACAAAAUCAAAAUCCAUAAUAGGUGUAAUAUCCAUAAAAGCAAAACAUUUAACAAUAUCUGCCAGUGAAUUGGAACACAUAAGUUUCCAAAGUAUACAAAAAUAAAAUAUUUCUAGUUUCAUCAUGAAUCAACUAAUACUCGUAAGUAAGAUCUUCAUCACUUUGGUUGCCUACUUCAAGUUCUCCACCUACAAAUAAUCAAAAAACAAACAAUUUAGCAAAAGUUCUAUAAAAGGAUUUCAUUUAAAGAUAUGUAUAUUAAUGUCAUGACACAUGGUAAGACUAAACAAAAUGACAAAUACACAAGGCCAAACCCAUAUGCGGCCCCUCUAACUUGGCGCCAAAAUUCAUAUGGACACUUCAACUUAGCUAUGUUUCAUUUAAACACUCCAACUAUGUUUCAACUGUUCCACUUAAACACAAUUUACAAACUUAAGUCCUUGUAACUUAUACAUCCAACAAAAAUUUGCAACUGUUUUAUCUAAACACCUAUCCUAGAAAUUGAUAUAAAGAAGCCACAUACAGGAUGCUCUUCUCAAUCAUCAGACCUACACCCUCGACUCAGUCGACCUCUCACCUGACUUCUUUAAGGUACCCAAUAUACCAUCAAUCGACUUAUCUUUAGUAUCCACAGGUUGGUAAGUUACAAAUGAAUAAGUCUUCUGCCUCCUCCCAGUGGCAGAAUUUUCUAUUUUGUCAGCUGAUAUUGAAGUAUCUGAUUUUGAACCAUUGGUUGAAGAUUCUACCAUGCCAUCAAAAUUUACAAACUUACAUACUACAAUUACAUCCCCAUGCAACAACAAGAACCCCUUUUAGUUCUAAGCUUCACAUUAACAAUAUUUAAACCAGCUUUAGAAACAACAAAUUAUAGGAAUAGCAGAAAAUUCCAAUGUCAACAUCAUUUAACCAGCAUAAGAAACCAGCAAAGACAACAUUAGUUUCUGCGACCAGUAAACCAAGAAAACCUGGUUAUGAACCAGAAUUUACAAUUACAACUAGAAAUUCAACAACAACAUAAAAAACCAGUGACAUCCUACAAGUAAGGAAAAUGAAACUAACAAUGUAUGAACCGAAAAAAAUAGAUGGAAGAAAGUAAUAGCAAUAGCAACAAGCAGUAACAAUGACAAAGUACUAGAAAACCGAUGCGGAAGAUAAUAUGAAAACAUCCAUAAUACUAGUAAUCUAAGAACAACAAUUAAAUUCUGAUGCCUUUAUAAAUCCAAUGUUGGACUGGUUUCACCUAUAAUAGUCUACUAAACCUUGUCAUAUCAUGUCAACUGUCAAUAUAUGCACAUAAGUGGGAAAAAAGUUGAAGAAACAGAAAAGAAAAUGACAGACAAAAGUCAUCAACAACAUUGCAUUCAAAUUGACUUCUCUAGCAGUAAGAAUACUAAACUGCAUCCCUCAAGAAUAGCAACAAGUAUAUGAUACAAUGUGACUACACUUCAGAACAUAAAAGGUGACAUAGUGCAACAUUAAAUAAUGAAGUACAUAUACCUCAACUACCCAAAAAAUAUUCUGUUGAUCUAAGGAACCACAUAAAAUCCACAACCCAUAUCUUUAAUCAAGAAAAUGACAGAUCAAGCAGUUUCUACUACAAAAAAUACAUGAACAAGAAGUAGAUUCUUUUACAAAAGAUAUAUGAACGGAAGUCAACACAGGCAGAAACAAAUUAGCCAGCAUUUGGGCAGAAACUGGAAAAAUUGGGCAGAAUUUUUGGGCAGAAACUGGAAGAACUGAGCUGAAAAAAGAAAGAAGAAGAGAAGAAGAACUGAAGAAGCUCUCUGAAUUGAAGAAAAAACAGAGAUUUUCUCAGGAUGUUCUAUUGAGUGCAACAAUAGUGAUAAAAAAUAGAACCAAAAAAAGAAAAAAAAAGAAAGAAGAAGAAAAAAUAGCGCAACACAGGCUGUGUUCUGUUGCAGCAGCAACGACAAAAAACAAAGCUCAAAAAAGGAAAGAAGAAGAAGAAAGAAAGAAAAAAGAGAAAAAUUUGACGAAGUAACAGAACAAAAACUCGAAUAAAGAAGAAAGGAGAUGAAGGAAGGAGAAGAAAGAAGAAAAGAGAUGAAGAGAAGCAUACAUGAUGAAGAAACUUGAAGAAUAAAGGAAAUUGCUGGUCUGCUGUCGACUAGAAGGAGAAAGAGUAAAGAAAUAGCGAGCCCUAAUUUUUGUUUUAAUAGAUCGCUGCUGUUGUAUUCUUCUUUUCUUUUUUGCAAAAAAGCGACGCUACAACUCGCUACACGCUACAGAGAGGCAGAGGCGCUCGAUAAUACAUUUUUAGCUUCCUGCAAAAAUUUGAGAAUACAUAAAUCAGUUUUUUUUAAAAAUAAUAUAAUUCAUAAGUCAAAAUUUAAAAUAGUAAUAAAGUAAAAGCAGGUCUAGUAAAACAGGUCCUUGAACACAAUGCUAAGCGUAAUAUCCAAAUCUAGUAAAGCAGUAUGUGAUGGCACAUAAAAGCGGUGCUGAGUUGAAAUAACAUUAAAAGCAAGAAUAAAAGGAGAAAGAAAGAGAGACAAAAGGGAUGUGGGUGGGGAAAAAUAAAUCUGUUUUAGAAGUAUAUUGGAUCUGCCUGGUCUUCUGCAUGAAAACAAAUCUUCUUAGUUUACCUUUGUCAUCUUCGUUUCUCAAUCUGUCAUAUCUUGCAACAUAAGAACCUAAUAUCCUAAAUUUUACUUCAGACUACUCCUAAUAUAUUUUAGUUGUUUGACUAGCCAAUGGCUUCCGCAUCUUAUGUUAGCAAAAUAAAAUCUAAAUACCAACUUUUAAUCUAGACAGGUACUCUUAAAAAAAAUUCUAAGAUCAACUAUAUUGUGCUCCAACUUUUAAUGUUAGCAUUACAAGAAAUAUAAAUUGUGCUGUUGAUAAACAAAUUUAUCAUAUUUCCAACAAAACAUAAUUAAAACAGAGAAAACAAAAUUCUAAGAGGGCACCGGGCUUCCACUCCGCAAGCAUAUCGAGACAAAAAUUCUUAUAUUUUCUCCUCGGACAUUUUACUACAUCUUUUACAAAAAUCUCCUGCCAAGUGAUUAGGUAGCUAAGCCAUAGCGAGAAUAAGGUUCAUCAUUAGCUUCAACUAUACAUGUGUGUGUUUCGGUAUAUUUAUCAUCUAAUAGCUCUUUGUAUUGACAUUUAACUACCAUAUUUUACAUUAAUUUUAAUAGUUAUUCAGCUGUAGUGACAUUAUUCUAAGGUAUGUAUGAACAUGAAAUAUUAGUAGUUUGAAGUAGUAACUAAACCAAAUGCAAUAUAGUUUCAGAAUCUAGAAGAUAAAUGUCAUCACUAGGAUGAACAGAGAUUUUGGGAUGCUUUUCAUAAUGUUGCGGUGCAUAAUGAUGUAGAUAAUUUUAGUUUCAACGAUUUCACUCUCUAGAAGAGGCAUGCAAGUUUCACAGAUACUUGCCUAAGAGAAAAGGAAAUGGAAAUCUUACCCAAUUCAUGUCAAGAGCUUCUUUUAUCACCUUCAAGUUACUUCUUUUCCACUAAUAGUGGGGUUUAGCUGCAAAAAUAAAACAAAUUCAACCAUAAUAUGCUAAAGUAUAUAGCUAACAAUUACUUGUUCCCUUUCUGUAAUGAUGUGAAAAUUUAACAUGGCUUCCUAAAAAUAAAAAUAGCAUUCACUAAAUAGUAUGAAUGCAUACAUAAGGCAAGACUUUUAUAUCAACAAUCUAGAUUAUACAAUAACUUUAUAGUGAACUUCACACUAUGACCUCAUAAGAGAUGGCACAUAUAUCACCCAACGAACAGAUUCAAGAAUUGAGUAGAGGACAAAAACUACAUCCAUACCUAAAACUUGUACAUUCUUUGUUAUGAUAAAAAUAAUAGCAUUUUCAUACACAAAGUUGCAGCCAGAGGUUUAAGAUUAACACUAAUAAGACUAAUAUUAACAUACUUUUCUCUUCUCCAGUCACACCAAUCAUUAAGAUAACAAAAUUUAAUAUUUCCUUGCACAUAGAACAGUUCUACGAGGAAAUACACAUACAAUACAUUUCUAAACUUACCCCUCAACACCCAUUUUAGAACACAAGAGCCAAACAACCAGAAAACCAACAAAAUAAGUAAAAUUCCCAUAUAUAUAUAUAUACAGCAAUUUGCUCUAACUCUCCCAACUUUUAAUUUUUCUAUUUAUGUUUUAGAACAUUGUCGACCUCAACAAUGGAGUUUUGAAGGGUAUUUGUCACUUUAAUUCCUCCCAAACAGCAGUAAACUCAAUAUUCAGUACAAAAUAAACUUCGAAUAAAAUUUUGGCUCAAAGAAUUGAAACCCAAUUUCUCAAACUCCAAUUUUACUAAAACCCAAAAUUUAAGCAAUCUUCUUUGAUUUUUUAUCACAGAUUGUUUCACGUAAAACUCAAAUCUUCACCAAAUUUGAGAUACAAACUUUAAACCACACUAAACCUAAAAAUCAAACAUAAAUUAGAACAAAAUAAAGUAACUUCAUAGAAACCCAUUUGUGUAUUCUUCAAGCUUUUCCAAAAACACUUGAAUGGAAAAUCUAGAGAUGGGGAAUUUAUAAGCUAUGGAGGAGAGCAUGCAGACCUAUUAUGGUAGAGAGCAAUAUGAAUCGAAAUCCUUUGCUAGUCGAAAUCCUUCGGUGAUGGAAAUCCUUCACUGGAUUUGGAAGCCGUUUUUCUCUUGAAGAAGUUGGAGGGUUUUUUGUUCUAGUGAAUCAAUUGAAUAGAAAAGAGGUAAGAAGACCC
rnacentral:lncRNA from 1 species